rnacentral:rRNA from 1 species
GAUGAACGCUGGCGGCGUGCCUAAUACAUGCAAGUCGAGCGAACGGACGAGAAGCUUGCUUUUCUGAUGUUAGCGGCGGACGGGUGAGUAACACGUGUAUAACCUACCUAUAAGACUGGGAUAACUUCGGGAAACCGGAGCUAAUACCGGAUAAUAUUUUGAACCGCAUGGUUCAAAAGUGAAAGACGGUCUUGCUGUCACUUCUAGAUGGAUCCGCGCUGCAUUAGCUAGUUGGUAAGGUAACGGCUUACCAAGGCAACGAUGCAUAGCCGACCUGAGAGGGUGAUCGGCGACAAUGGAACUGAGACACGGUCCAGACUCCUAAGGGAGGCAGCAGUAGGGAAUCUUCCGCAAUGGGCGAAAGCCUGACGGAGCAACGCCGCGUGAGUGAUGAAGGUCUUCGGAUCGUAAAACUCUGUUAUUAGGGAAGAACAUAUGUGGAAGUAACUGUGCACAUCUUGACGGUACCUAAUCAGAAAGCCACGGCUAACUACGUG